ensembl:lncRNA
UAAGGCCCUCGGUCUUACAAUAUGCUCAUAGGUAAGGCUUUUCACGGCUGGCUGGAUCACUGGAGUGUGAUACUGGUAUUAAAGGUUCCUGCCCCAUCCCCCUUGCCUGCAGGAUCCAGAGCAGAAGAGUGAACCCCGCAGAAAUUUUUACCUUACCUUCCAUCUGCCCAUGGCCCACAGCCAUCAUGGUCCACCCCUCACACCUGCUGAGAUCAUGUGCUACUGCCUCUGCAGAAUACUGAAUCCACAUCUAACAGCUCAAGUCCAAAUCUACAUCCACAACCUCAGUCUCCCGAGACUGCUGGACUGGAGUCGCACCCUCCCAAAGUCCUGGGACUGGUGGCUGUGAAAACCAACUGCAGUCUCAGAGAGAUGUUUCCAGCCAGCUAUGGUACCUCCCACAAUCUGUGGGACCAUUACUGACUUCACUGGUAUGCAGUGACCCCGAAUGUCCAAUUAAAGUGAUCUUUGCUCGCA